GGAAAAAUUCUCCCAUCGAAUGAUGCAAAUGCCAAUAGUCCAAUCGUCGCCAGUAUUGCUUCUAAAAUCGUCCAAAAUAUAAUGAGUGGCCGACAAGGUGGUGGAGGUGGUAGUGGUGGAAUUGGUAAUGAUCUGAUAUCUGGUAUGGCUUCCCAGUACAUCGGUAAUUUGAUAAGUGGAGGAGGAGGAGGACAAAGCCAAAGACCA